CUUAAUGGUUCCAAAUGCCCAACUGAAACUGAUCCUUUGUAUAUUAAUAUGGCUUUCCAAACUACUAUCAAUGAAAUGAAUAAAUGAAAACAUUUGAGCAGCCUUAAAUAUACUGAAAUUUUAUUAUACAAAAAUGUAUAAAUGUAAAGUUUUGGGACAAUGAUAUGGAGAAAAAAAAUAAUUUUGGGACAAUUACAAAAAAUGGUAAUUCAUUACAACAGUUGUUUGGUCAGUCUUAUUGUGAAUUCAGGUUUUUUCCUCCAUUUUUUAUUAGCUCUGUUGUAAUUUUGGUCCUCUCCUGAUGCUUCAUAUUUUGUAUUUCUGAUGUUUAAAUUAGAGUUGGUAGGUUUAUAGUGGUGGUGACUGUUCAUAUUUUCCUUUGUCUCCAUCUUCAGUUUUAUUUAGGAACUCCUCAAAGUAUUCAGCCCAUUUGUCAAUGACAUGACUUUUUUUGUGACGAGGACACCAUUAUUGUUCUCAUGCAUGUGUGAUCUUGCUUGAAAUCCAUUCUUGUCAUCUCUUAUUUUCAUGCCCAUUCCUCUCGCAUCAAGGUUCUCAAUGAG
rnacentral:sRNA from 1 species